UGGGCAGGAGAGGGAGGGAGGGAGGGGACGAGGGCGGAGCGGGGCGGGCCGGAGGUGUGGGGCCCGCCCCGGGGCGGAGUCACGGCCCGUUAGACCCGCUGGGAAAGGAGAAACGUGUUAGAGUAUUCUGAGGCUCCUACAUUUUUAGAGCAACUUCGAAGCUAUGCAUUUUACUGAUGGAUCCGAGUGAGGCCCAGCCUUUUAACUCUUACUCGGAUAUUUUGAAAAGAAGAACUCGCAUCAUAUCAGCAAAUGUGACAUUCGUCACGUAGUCACGAUUUAUUUGGAGUAGUCAAGGAAAACUAUAUAGCUUGGAUAUAGCUCAACUUCAAUAAUUACAAAAAACCCAGAGGUUGUCUUGACCACCCAUUAUCACCGUCAUUUUCUCCGACAAAAUAUUCCAGGCUCUGCUGGUUCUGAUCACUGAUUACUGGUGAUUGUUCGUUUUAAGUCCUUGGGGCCUUCUUGCUUCUGUUCAUAAGGUUUCUUUCGCAGGGUGGAGAGGAGCAGUUGGUGGGCAUUAAGUGAGACUGCCAAGUUGCUUCAUUAUGUCUGCGGAUUACCAUAUAUUAUCCCAAAAAGG
rnacentral:lncRNA from 1 species